UACCGCGGAGGCGAGCGUUAAUCGGAAUUACUGGGCGUAAAGCGCGUGUAGGCGGUUGGAUAAGUGUCACGUGAAAGCCCUGGGCUUAACGGGGGAACUGCGUGGGGUACUGCCAGGCUUGAGUUUGGUAGAGGGGAGUGGAACUUUCGGUGUAGCAGUGAAAUGCGUAGAGAUCUGAAGGAACACCAGUGGCGAAGGCGGUUCCCUGGACCAAUACUGACGCUGAGGCGCGAAAGCGUGGGGAGCAAACAGG
rnacentral:rRNA from 1 species